ACACACACACACUGCCCUGACCAUUGGCUGACACUUCCGGCAUACAUACAGAAAUGUAUAUGAAUGAAGAUUCAGUAUUACUGACAACCAAAAAUAGUGUUUAUAGAGUCCAAGGCCAGAAGGGGCUACUCUCUUCUAUUCUUACAGCCUAUGUAACAGAUGCCACAGACCUUCUCCCAGAUAAUUCCUUUUCGAAGAACAGAACAUCUUUUAGAAAAACAUCCAACCUUGAUUUUAAAAUGGAUAGUAAUGGGGAUGCCCCCACAACUCAGGGUAAAUUGUACCAAUGUUUAAUUAUCCUCACUGUGAAAUAUUUAACAUUUAAUUCAAGUUCUGAAUGUUAUCUAACUUCAACUUCUAGCUACCGAACGUUGUUAUGCCUUUGUCUGCUAGACCAAAGAUCCCAUUAUCAAAUAUUUUUCCCUAUUUAGGAACAUAAAAACCUGAUCAGUUCAUCCUAUAACUUUCCUUAUGGCAAGCUAAGAAGAUUGUGCCUGAGACUGUAUGUAUAAAGGCAUAUUUUCCAAUCCUGUAAUAAUUCUUGUACCUCUUCUCUAAACCCUCUCCAAUUUGUCAACAUCCUUGAUUAGUGAACACCAGAACAGGACGCAGUAUUCCAGCAGCAGUCACACUGGUGUUUAAUACAGAGGUGCAGGAUACAGUCGAGGACGAGAUGGAGAGGGAUUGAAUGAUGUUCUGUAUCAUGUACGGAACACCAGGAGGCAAACCUGCGCUAUUUGGAAAGGACUUUGGCCAUGAGGACUCUGGGAGGAAAGGCAUCCAGGAGAGGCCCGUUCCAAUUGAGUAGGAGUGCGUCGCCCAAGGAUCCCUGACCUACUCCUGUUCUGGAGCAGUAAUAGUGGCACUUCUUGUUGCGAUAGGUCGCAAAGAAGUCUAUGAGGGGUGUCCCCCACCAUCAGAAGAGGAGAUGAAGGACUCUGUCAUGGAGCUCCCAUUCAUGAUCCGGUAUGAAGGGCCUGCUCAGGAAAUUUGCAGCAAGGUUGUUGACUCCGGGUCUCUGAGGACUCCUGCUGAUUGAAUAUAAGAAACCCGUCUCAUCACCACUGCAGUAGCCAUCAACCGAGCUGCUGUGUCCGCUACAUCCAUGGCUAUUUGGAGCCCUACUCUGGCGGAAGUGUACCCCUCUUGUACGAUGGACUUCAAUAUGGGCCUCUUUGAUUCAGGGAGGUAGUCUAAGACCGAUGUUAGCUUGGUAUAAUUAUUGAAAUUAUGAUUUGAUAAAUGUGUGACGUAAUUUGCUAUCCUAAGCAGGAGCGUUGCAGACGUGUACACUUUCCUGCCAAAUAAAUCCAGCCUCUUAUUAUCUCUGUCAAUGGUGGAGUUUUUGUAGUGCAGUGUUUUUUAUCUUUGUUGAGCAGCAUCAACCACCAGGGAGUUGGACUGGGGAUGGGUGAAUAAAAAUUCCAUCCCCUUAAGCAGCACAAAGUACUUCUUGUCCAUUUUCUUACUGGUGGGCAGGGCAGAUGCAGGGGUUUGCCAAAUUUCAUCUGCUACUUCAAGUAUAGCUUCAUCCAAGGUAAUGGCUAUCUUGGAGCUUUGUGUUGGCUGGAGAUUCUUGAGAAGACGGUGUUGUUUCUCCUAUAUCUCUGCUAACUGCACUUCCUGGCUGACCGCCACCAUCUUGAAAAGUUCUUGAAAUUGUUUGAGGUUGUCAGGAGGUGAGAUGUUUCCCGGAAUAACGGCCUCAUCAGAUGAAGUGGAGGAUUGGUCCAUUGGGGAGAUGUCAGAUGGAUGCUCCUCUAUAUCAGAAGACUUCCCCUCCUCUGGUUCCAAACUGUUGCAGCUGUGGUGAUGCAGGUUAUUGGACUGGAGUGGGGGGGGGGAGGAGAGCUGGAGCCAGUGAAUGCCUGGAUGAGGUAAGUGGUGACAGUGAUGGUCAUAGUAACAGUAUACUCUGUGAAGGGGUGACCGUCUUUCAAGGUGCAAGUGCCUGUAGUGUUCCCAAUGCGCCGUCCGUGGUGAUUGUGGCGAAUGGGAUCAAGUGUAUGAGAUCCUGGAUGAAGGCGAUGGGGAGACAGAAAAACAGUGGUGGGAGUAAUGGGCAUGCUCUCUCGGUGCCCUGAGGAAUGGGGAUGAUAGUCUCCGGUGCAGGGAGCAAGGAGACCUGUGACGUUCCCCAGGGUGAGAUCUCAGUGUCGGUGAUUUCAGUGCCAGCGGUGAGGGCGAUAGCGCUGAAGAGAAAGUAGGCAAUGGCGACUGAGGCGUAAGGCUUCGGUGCCGAGGUGUUUUCGAUGCCGACUUCCUCCGUGCCGCAUCGUCUGGACGCGGGCUUGGUACUAACAGCGCUGGUGGUCGUGAGCUUGGUGCCAGUGGUGCCAAUGAGGAAUGCAGCGCGGGCAUGUCAGUUGGUGCCAGAGAUUUGGUUGUCGGAGUUGCCGGUGCUGAGGUUACUCUCGGCUCUGUCGGUGAGCGUGGUGUUGGCACUGCAGUCAUCGACUUUUUGUUUUGGAAGUUGAGACUGCUCUGGAUUGAGAAACGGCAGUGCCAGACGUGCCAGGCUUGUCUCCAAUACUCAAUCUGCUCUGCGACAUAGCAGGCAGAGAUCUUGUAGGGGAUGCCCUUACUUUCUUGGGCGGAGUGGCAGUAGGAGAUGAGGCUCUGCAUUUUGAGCCGGCUGGUCAGAAGAGGCUGUGUAAUCUGAUCCGGUGGGCUGGAGAGCCUUAUCGAAAAGGAUCAUCUCUCUAUCUCUGUGGGCCCUCGCCGUUAACUUACUACAAUGAGGGCACUUCUGUGGAACAUGAGCUUCGCCGAGACAUUGAAUACAAACCGAAUGCCCGUCAGAAGCAGGCAUGGCUUCGAGGCUUGUGUCACACUUUUUAAAACCUGGUGAGGCAGGCAUUUUGCUGUUCUUCAGUUAGGCUUUUUUUUUUUUUAAAGUCCUCAAAGUGAAGAGGAAUGAGAAGGGAUUUAACUAUAUAUAUAUAUAUGAA